rnacentral:rRNA from 1 species
AUUGAACGCUGGCGGCAUGCCUUACACAUGCAAGUCGAACGGCAGCACGGGUGCUUGCACCUGGUGGCGAGUGGCGAACGGGUGAGUAAUACAUCGGAACAUGUCCUGUAGUGGGGGAUAGCCCGGCGAAAGCCGGAUUAAUACCGCAUAUGAUCCACGGAUGCAAGCGGGGGACCUUCGGGCCUCGCGCUAUAGGGUUGGCCGAUGGCUGAUUAGCUAGUCGGUGGGGUAAAGGCCUACCAAGGCGACGAUCAGUAGCUGGUCUGAGAGGACGACCAGCCACACUGGGACUGAGACACGGCCCAGACUCCUACGGGAGGCAGCAGUGGGGAAUUUUGGACAAUGGGCGAAAGCCUGAUCCAGCAAUGCCGCGUGUGUGAAGAAGGCCUUCGGGUUGUAAAGCACUUUUGUCCGGAAAGAAAUCCUUGACUCUAAUACAGUCGGGGGAUGACGGUACCGGAAGAAUAAGCACCGGCUAACUACGUG